AGUCCUGCCUCCAAAAGUAGACUGUAAUCAGGAAGGUGGUUUCUUGAGCAUGAGAAUCAUUCCGUGUGCUAUGGAUGGAUGGCUGUUUUCCCAAAUUUGGGGAAAUGUGGGAAAUGCAAUUUCUGAUAUUAAGGGUGUGGCAUUUGUGCUUUCCCCUG